GGGCGAUUAGCUCAGUGGAUAGAGCGUUGGUCUCCGGAACCAAAGGUCGCGGGUUCAACUCCCGUAUCGCCCUCCA
rnacentral:tRNA from 1 species